rnacentral:lncRNA from 1 species
GAAUACUCCAUUUGCUCCUUAAAAUAGACACCAUUAUCUGUUGAAUUGGCAGGAGUACAGUGAGAGAAAAAAUAAAUUUUAUCCAUGUUAUUGCUGCCUUUCACUGAUAUGUAGGUCAAAGUGUUCCAAAUAAAACAGAAGAAAACCCUGAGUUCCAGAGCAUUAGACAGAAUUCCCUUUUACAGGCAAAAAGUUGUGGGGGUCCCAAAGCCAUCUAGAUAGGGAGUGCAUUCUACCAGAUACAAAAAUGUGGCAUCUAUGGGGAAAAAAUUUUGGAAAAUAGCUUCUGUGCUCUAUCUAGGAUGUGCUCUUGGCUGGUUUUCUGUUAAUCUGUAUAACAUUCACUCAUUGGGCAAGCAGACAGCCAUGAAUUUUUGCCUUGUAAUGUUUGCAGACAUCCAAGUUGAGGGCAUCUGGAGAGAGGUUCCAUUCAGGAUGCUCAGAAGAAACAGCUCUGCACGCAGGAAGCUGGAGAUCCCAUUUUCUUCUGUUAAUGAGAACAAAGGCCUGCAUAUCAGCUUUGUGAACAGAGUAUGAGGUCUUUCUAAAUGAACUCAUACACAUGCAGACAGUGCUUCAUCCAGCCCUCCAAGGGAGACAAUGAAGAACUGGCUUCAAGGAUACAACCGGUAGAAGAAAGCCAGUGCCAUCAGUUCACUUACAUCUGUUUGACAGAUCAGUCCUGGCAUGAGCACUGGCUUUCCUAGCUAUAUUAGCUCUUAGCCAAAUGUACUGACAGCUAGAAAAGAAAUAUUUUAGGAGGUAAACAUAUUCACAGUGUACUGAGCAGUCUUCACUGCCCUUUAAUCUAUAGCAUCUUUGGAACAUAUAAACAAAUUGAAGAUGGGAAGGAAGGCAAAAGAAAAGGAAAAAAUAUUUUUUCUUCCUGUAAAUAUUGCUAAUGGAACAGAGCUGUACCAUAUGCCUGUGCAAACAAAAUUCUGAACUGAGAAAACUGCUUAAAUUUACCUGCUUCUUACUGGAAAUACUUUCUCUUUAUCAUAAAAUAUUUAAUAAUAACUUUUUAUUUAAUUGUGGCAAUUAGAAGCUUUUUUGGAUUUGUCUUUAUCCUCCUA